GGUUGAUCCUGCCAGUAGUCAUAUGCUUGUCUCAAAGAUUAAGCCAUGCAUGUCUAAGUAUAAACAAAUUCAUACUGUGAAACUGCGAAUGGCUCAUUAAAUCAGUUAUAGUUUAUUUGAUGGUACCUUACUACAUGGAUAACUGUGGUAAUUCUAGAGCUAAUACAUGCUGAAAAGCCCCAACUUCUGGAAGGGGUGUAUUUAUUAGAUAAAAAACCAAUGAGGGCAACCUCUUGCGUUGAUUCAUGAUAACUUCUCGAAUCGCAUGGCCUUGUGCCGGCGAUGCUUCAUU
rnacentral:rRNA from 1 species